AUUGAACGCUGGCGGCAGGCCUAACACAUGCAAGUCGAGCGGAUGAAGGGAGCUUGCUCCUGGAUUCAGCGGCGGACGGGUGAGUAAUGCCUAGGAAUCUGCCUGGUCGUGGGGGAUAACGUCCGGUAACGGGCGCUAAUACCGCAUACGUCCUUAGGUAGAAAGUGGGGGAUCUUCGGACCUCACGCUAUCAGAUGAGCCUAGGUCGGAUUAGCUAGUUGGUGGGGUAAAGGCCUACCAAGGCGACGAUCCGUAACUGGUCUGAGAGGAUGAUCAGUCACACUGGAACUGAGACACGGUCCAGACUCCUACGGGAGGCAGCAGUGGGGAAUAUUGGACAAUGGGCGAAAGCCUGAUCCAGCAAUGCCGCGUGUGUGAAGAAGGUCUUCGGAUUGUAAAGCACUUUAAGUUGGGAGGAAGGGAAGUAAGUUAAUACCUUGCUGUUUUGACGUUACCAACAGAAAAAGCACCGGCUAACUUCGUG
rnacentral:rRNA from 1 species